rnacentral:rRNA from 1 species
AUUGAACGCUGGCGGCAGGCCUAACACAUGCAAGUCGAGCGAGCGGCGGACGGGUGAGAAAGGUCUGGGAAACUGCCUGUUGGAGGGGGAUAACUCCUGGAACAGGUAGCUAUUCCCGCAUAACAUCACAUGUGCCCAGAUGGGAUUGGCUAGUAGGUGGGGUAACGGCUCACCUAGGCGACGCUCCCGAUCUGGUCUGAGAGGGUGACCAGCCACACUGGAACUGAGACACGGUCCAGACUCCGACGGGAGGCAGCAGUGGGGAAUAUUGCACAAUGGGCGCAAGCCUGAUGCAGCCAUGCCGCGUGUGUGAAGAAGGCCUUCGGGUUGUAAAGCACUUUCAGCGGGGAGGCGUUACCCGCAGAAGAAGCACCGGCUAACUCCGUGCCAGCAGCCGCGGUAAUAC